rnacentral:rRNA from 1 species
CAAUAGCGUAUAUUAAAGUUGUUGCAGUUAAAAAGCUCGUAGUUGGAUUUGUGGCGUACGGUGUGUUCCGGGCACUUGUUGUCUGAGUAACCUGCUGUUGCCAUCCUUGGGUGGAACCUGUGUGGCAUUAGGUUGUCGCGCAGGGGAUGCCCAUCAUUUACUGUGAAAAAAUUAGAGUGUUCAAAGCAGGCUUAUGCCGUUGAAUAUAAUAGCAUGGAAUAAUGAGAUAGGACUUUUUUGCUAUUUUGUUGGUUUGCGCAAAGAGGUAAUGAUUAAUAGGGACAGUUGGGGGUAUUCGUAUUCCAUUGUCAGAGGUGAAAUUCUUGGAUUUUUGGAAGACGAACUACUGCGAAAGCAUUUACCAAGGAUGUUUUCAUUAA